rnacentral:rRNA from 1 species
GAUGAACGCUAGCGACAGGCUUAACACAUGCAAGUCGAGGGGCAGCACGGGAGUAGCAAUACAACUGGUGGCGACCGGCGCACGGGUGAGUAACGCGUAUGUAACCUACCUAUCAGAGGGGAAUAACCCGGCGAAAGUCGGACUAAUACCGCAUAAAACAGGGGCACCGCAUGGUGCUAUUUGUUAAAGAAAUUCGCUGAUAGAUGGGCACGCGUUCCAUUAGGUAGUUGGUGAGGUAACGGCUCACCAAGCCGACGAUGGAUAGGGGAACUGAGAGGUUGGUCCCCCACACUGGUACUGAGACACGGACCAGACUCCUACGGGAGGCAGCAGUGAGGAAUAUUGGUCAAUGGGCGAGAGCCUGAACCAGCCAAGUCGCGUGAAGGAAGAAGGAUCUAUGGUUCGUAAACUUCUUUUGCAGGGGAAUAAAGUGCAGGACGUGUCCUGUUUUGUAUGUACCUUAUGAAUAAGGACCGGCUAAUUCCGUGCCAGCAGCCGCGGUAA